rnacentral:rRNA from 1 species
AGUUUGAUUCCUGGCUCAGAGUGAACGCUGGCGGCAUGCCUAACACAUGCAAGUCGAACGGCAGCACAGCAGUAGCAAUACUGUGGGUGGCGAGUGGCGGACGGGUGAGGAACACAUCGGAAUUUGCCCAGUCGUGGGGGAUAACGUAGGGAAACUUACGCUAAUACCGCAUACGACCUUACGGUGAAAGCGGGGGAUCGCAAGACCUCGCGCGGAUGGAUGAGCCGAUGUCGGAUUAGCUAGUUGGUGGGGUAAAGGCCUACCAAGGCGACGAUCCGUAGCUGGUCUGAGAGGAUGAUCAGCCACACUGGGACUGAGACACGGCCCAGACUCCUACGGGAGGCAGCAGUGGGGAAUAUUGGACAAUGGGGGCAACCCUGAUCCAGCAAUGCCGCGUGUGUGAAGAAGGCCUUCGGGUUGUAAAGCACUUUUAUCCGGAACGAAACGUGCGGGGUGAAUAGCCUCGUAAACUGACGGUACCGGAGGAAUAAGCACCGGCUAACUUCGUGCCAGCAGCCGCGGUAAUACGAAGGGUGCAAGCGUUACUCGGAAUUACUGGGCGUAAAGCGUGCGUAGGCGGUUUGUUAAGUCUGCUGUGAAAUCCCCGGGCUCAACCUGGGAAUGGCAGUGGAUACUGGAAAGCUGGAGUGCGGUAGAGGGUAGUGGAAUUCCCGGUGUAGCAGUGAAAUGCGUAGAGAUCGGGAGGAACACCAGUGGCGAAGGCGGCUACCUGGACCAGCACUGACACUGACGCACGAAAGCGUGCGGAGCAAACAGGAUUAGAUACCCUGGUAGUCCACGCCCUAAACGAUGCGAACUGGAUGUUGGGUGCAACUUGGCACUCAGUAUCGAAGCUAACGCGUUAAGUUCGCCGCCUGGGGAGUACGGUCGCAAGACUGAAACUCAAAGGAAUUGACGGGGGCCCGCACAAGCGGUGGAGUAUGUGGUUUAAUUCGAUGCAACGCGAAGAACCUUACCUGGUCUUGACAUGUCCGGAAUCCUUUAGAGAU